UAUGGUAGGGGGUGUUUGUGUUGUAUUUUGCUGGCACCCAGACGAAGUGGGAUUGACAAAGUGGAAACAGUGGUUCACAAAGUGCGGCCUGCGGACAACCUGUUGUCUGAGGGUGGGAGCGGGAGGUCUUCGAGCUGGUCCAAAAUGCGAGUCACUGACACAAUAUGCCACGGUCGAAGCCAUGUGAGAGAACCGGCCAGAACCAACAUCCCCAGCACUGGCCUCGUAUCACACACCCGGACCAUUUCCUGCCUGCAUGGCACGAGGCGUUAAAAGCAGGGGCAACAUCAAAUGUAGUUUUAUGAGCAAGAUUUUUGUUACUGUUCAUUUUGUUUUAUUAAUAUAGAUGUGAAAUAA